AUAAGAACUUGGGCAGGUUUGCUGUCACAUUAGCCAGCUGCGAUGCUGUAACACGAACCUUGUGUCCACAUGUUCCUGGUUGAACCUGUGUCUCAUUGGUUGAACAUUGUGCCCUCAUUUCAACUGUGGGAUCUCAUUGCAGAGCUGAGGUGAUGACUUGGGCUUUGCUGUACCACGAAGCUUCAUUUUGAUACGCGAAGAUACAAGAAGUGGAUGGACUCUUUUAAACGUGUGGAGAGACAGAGCCGACGAGCCGACAGCACGCUAGGACAAACAGCGGUCCUGCCCAAGAUGGCGGCCAGGAGGCGACACUGCAGCCAUCAGAGUCAGGGGCGUAAACGACACACCUGCUCUCAAUCCCUGCAUCCUCUGCUGCAGCAUAAAAGGGGAGAAGGAGGAGCAAUCGUGGCAGAAGAAGGAGAAGCAACAACAAACAGCGAAGACAACGAAGACGACGAGAGCGACCAGGAGAAAAAUGAGCCCCCACGGAAGACGCAGCCACCGGCCACCGAAAGGCGCGCCGAGACGUGCAGGAAGGGAGGUUGGGCUCGAAAUUGGCGCGACCGACUGGAACCAAAGCUUGUUUAUUGAAAGAAUAAAUGAGAGUCAAACCUG